GACGUAGGGUGCGAGCGUUGUCCGGAUUUAUUGGGCGUAAAGAGCUCGUAGGCGGCUCGUCACGUCGUCCGUGAAAACCCGCGGCUUAACCGCGGGCUUGCGGUUGAUACGGGCGGGCUAGAGUUCGGUAGGGGAGACUGGAAUUCCUGGUGUAGCGGUGAAAUGCGCAGAUAUCAGGAGGAACACCGGUGGCGAAGGCGGGUCUCUGGGCCGAUACUGACGCUGAGGAGCGAAAGCGUGGGGAGCGAACAGG
rnacentral:rRNA from 1 species